GUGCUCGCUUUGGUAGUACAUAUACUAAAAUUGGAAUGAUAUAGAGAAGAUUAGCAUGGACCCUGCGCAAGGAUAAUAUGCAAAUUUGUAAAGCAUUCCAUAUUUUU
ensembl:snRNA U6 U6 spliceosomal RNA